UACGGAGGGCGCAAGCGUUAAUCGGAAUCACUGGGCGUAAAGCGUGCGUAGGCUGUCUGAUAAGUCAGGCGUGAAAUCCCUCGGCUCAACCGGGGAACUGCGUUUGAUACUGUCGGACUCGAGUCCUGGAGAGGGUGGCGGAAUUCCUGGUGUAGGAGUGAAAUCCGUAGAUAUCAGGAGGAACACCGGUGGCGAAGGCGGCCACCUGGACAGGUACUGACGCUGAGGCACGAAAGCGUGGGGAGCAAACAGG
rnacentral:rRNA from 1 species